rnacentral:rRNA from 1 species
UACGUAGGGUGCAAGCGUUGUCCGGAAUUAUUGGGCGUAAAGAGCUCGUAGGCGGUUUGUUGCGUCGGCUGUGAAAUCCCGAGGCUCAACCUCGGGUCUGCAGUCGAUACGAGCAAACUAGAGUGUUGCAGGGGAGACUGGAAUUCCUGGUGUAGCGGUGAAAUGCGCAGAUAUCAGGAGGAACACCGGUGGCGAAGGCGGGUCUCUGGGAAACAACUGACGCUGAGGAGCGAAAGCGUGGGGAGCAAACGGG